UGCCAGCUGCCGCGGUAAUACGAAGGGACCUAGCGUAAUUCGGAAUUACUGGGCUUAAAGAGCUCGUAGGUGGUUAAAAAAGUUGGUGGUGAAAUCCCAAGGCUUAACCUUGGAACUGCCUUUAAAACUGUUAGUCUUGAGAUCGAGAGAGGUGAGUGGAAUUCCAAGUGUAGAGGUGAAAUUCGUAGAUAUUUGGAGGAACACCAGUGGCGAAGGCGGCUCACUGGCUCGAUACUGACGCUGAGGUACGAAAGUGUGGGGAGCAAACAGGAUUAGAUA
rnacentral:rRNA from 1 species